ensembl:lncRNA
AAUACGAUUAUAAUUUAUUGGAAUCUGAAAUUCAACAAUGCAAAAUAAACAGAAUAAAGCAUAUUAAGAUUUUAAAACAUAAGCACAGCAAUCAUGAGGUUGUGUGGGUGCUUUGAGAUCAUAAAGUGGCCAAUAUGUUCCCAAGGUGUGCAAAUAAGAAGCUGGUUCAUCAAAAUGGGUAUGAGUUAUUGUUUUUGUAUUUUUUAAAUAGAUUUUUUUGUUUUGUUUUGUUUUUCUUGAUGCAUUCUCAAUCAUCCAGGGAAGUAAAUCUCCAAAAAGUUGAUUCUGUUCCUUGGGGUGGACCAAUUUUUGGCGCAGCGUGUUUUGGGGUUUAAAAGCCACAGAGACCCGGUGUUUAGAAAAAAUGUGUCUCAACUGCUCCGAUACUCCUGACACGUAUGGGAUCACUACAGGUUUUCACUUGGGCAGCGGUUGUCCUUCUCUCGUGGAUCGGCUGGAGCUUUCUUUAGGCGCCUUCCCAGCUUUGACAAAAGUCCAGCUGGGAUAACCACAUUUACUCAGGGCCUUCUUGAUGUGCUGUUCUUCUGCCUCUCUGGCCGCUGUGUCUGUGGGGAUGGUGUUCGCUCGGUGUUGUAGCGUCCUGAUGACACCCAGUUUGUGCUCCAGUGGAUGAUGAGUCAAACCUUAGAUACUGAUCCGUAUGUGUAGGUUUACGGUACACGUCAGCUUUUAGAUGUCCCCCAUUACUGAUGGAAAUCUCACAGUCUAAGAAGGCUAACCUGCCACUUUUCAUAUCCUCCCUGGUGAAUUUGAUGUGUCGGUCCACCGAGUUUAUGUGAUCCGUGAAUUGUGGUACGUCCUGAGAUUUGAUUUUCACCCAGGUGUCAUCCACAUAUCGGAACCAAUGGCUUGGUGGUGUUCCAGGGUAGGAUAGUGAAAAUCAGUGGUCUUUGAUCGGUGGGUUUUGGUCAGUGGUUGUUGAUCAAAGGUCAUGAGAAUUUGCAUAAUUAAGAUUAAGGAACUGACCUCCCAGCCCAUUGUUCCUUCAGUGGGCUGGUUUCAGUCAUUAUGCAAAUGUACUGUUUAUAAGUUUGGGGAAACCUGCAGUCAGCUGAGACUGAA